rnacentral:rRNA from 1 species
AUGAUAGAAACAACUUUGGCUGAAACAUUUAAGUUAUACAAGAAGAACGCCCGUGCGUUGCAACGGGGCUACAUUAACUUUAAGAGUUCAAUAUUAAUAUUCUCAUACAUAUCAAGUGACAUUGGCGACCUUUUUUACCAUCAAAUCCUCACACACAUACUCUCUCCGCGGCAGCCACCCACGCUGGGUCCUUCAAGUGCCGCUUCCAAGUGCGUAUGCGCGCCAGCCACCCACGCCGGAUCCUUCAAGUGCCGCUUCCAUCGCACCAACUCCCAGGGCCACGGCCACGGCCAGGGCCAAGGAAGUCGCCCUUCUUCGCCCCCUUCAUCGGCCGCGAACGCGGUACCGCGGCACCCGGCCUCGCCGUCCUCGUCCUCCGGCACCGUCGCGACCCAGUGA